rnacentral:rRNA from 2 species
AGUCAACCUAACCUAUGACGGGGAUAACCUCGGGAAACUGAGAAUAAUACCCGAUAGAUCAUGAUACCUGGAACGGUUUAUGGUUCAAAUGAUUUAUCGCCAUAGGAUGGGACUGCGGUCUAUCAGCUUGUUGGUGAGGUAAUGGCCCACCAAGGCUAUAACAGAUACGGGCUCUGAGAGGAGGGGCCCGGAGAUGGGUACUGAGACACGGACCCAGGUCCUAUGGGGCGCAGCAGGCGAGAAACCUUUGCAAUGUGCGAAAGCACGACAAGGUUAAUCCGAGUGAUUCCUGCUAAAGGAAUCUUUUGUUAGUCAUAAAACCACUGAUGAAUAAGGGGUGGGCAAGUUCUGGUGUCAGCCGCCGCGGUAAUACCAGCACCUCGAGUGGUCAGGAGGUUUAUUGGGCCUAAAGCAUCCGUAGCCGGCUGCUCAAGUUUCCGGUUAAAUCCACACGCUUAACGUAUGGGCUGCCGGAAAUACUGUUCAGCUAGGGAGUGGGAGAGGUAGACGGUACUCGAUAGGAAGGGGUAAAAUCCUUUGAUCUAUUGAUGACCACCUGUGGCGAAGGCGGUCUACCAGAACACGUUCGACGGUGAGGGAUGAAAGCUGGGGGAGCAAACCGGAUUAGAUACCCGGGUAGUCCCAGCUGUAAACGAUGCAGACUCGGUGAUGCAUUGGCUUAUGGCCAGUGCAGUGCCGCAGGGAAGCCGUUAAGUUUGCCGCCUGGGAAGUACGUACGCAAGUAUGAAACUUAA